rnacentral:rRNA from 1 species
GACGAACGCUGGCGGCGUGCUUAACACAUGCAAGUCGAACGGAAAGGCCCUUCGGGGUACUCGAGUGGCGAACGGGUAAGUAACACGUGGGUGAUCUGCCCUGCACUUUGGGAUAAGCCUGGGAAACUGGGUCUAAUACCGAAUAGGACCACGCGCUUCAUGGUGUGUGGUGGAAAGCUUUUGCGGUGUGGGAUGGGCCCGCGGCCUAUCAGCUUGUUGGUGGGGUAAUGGCCUACCAAGGCGACGACGGGUAGCCGGCCUGAGAGGGUGACCGGCCACACUGGGACUGAGAUACGGCCCAGACUCCUACGGGAGGCAGCAGUGGGGAAUAUUGCACAAUGGGCGCAAGCCUGAUGCAGCGACGCCGCGUGAGGGAUGACGGCCUUCGGGUUGUAAACCUCUUUCAAUAGGGACGAAGCGCAAGUGACGGUACCUAUAGAAGAAGCACCGGCCAACUACGUG